ensembl:misc_RNA 7SK 7SK RNA
GGAUGUGAGGGCAGAGUGGCUGCAGUAUCUGUCGCCCCAUUGACCGCCAGGGCUGGCUCGGCUGGUCUGGCUGCCCAGGCGGGUGUCCCCUUCCCCCCUCGCCUCCCUCCGGAAGCUGUGAGCUCGGCUGACUGCAGAGGAAGAUGGGGGCACAGGAAUAGCUGCGCUGCCCUACUCCAGCCUCCAAACGAGCUCUCAAAAGGUGGAAAGGGCUGGGGAGCAGGGCGGUGCAAAGGCCCUGGGUUCUAUCUGCAGUACCGCAAAUAAAACGAAAUGAAUUUUAAAAUAAAAU